ACGACCUUACUUGAACAGGAUCUGUUCUAUAGGAUCGUACCUCUGUAUCCUUGAUCACUAAGGAGACAGGACCUAAACCUGGUUGAAGAACCAUGGCUGUGCGAUCAGAGCGUGAUUAACGAACCUGAUCCUUUGCGAAGGAUCAGGCUGUAGAGGAUCGUUCCCAGCUUAGGUUCGCCCAGCUGGGAUGGUCGUACGGUUGUCUGACAGGUU